rnacentral:rRNA from 1 species
GACGAACGCUGGCGGCGUGCUUAACACAUGCAAGUCGAACGGAAAGGCCCUGCUUUUGUGGGGUGCUCGAGUGGCGAACGGGUGAGUAACACGUGCGUAACCUGCCCUUGACUUUAGUAUAACUUCAGGAAACUGGGGCUAAUACCGGAUAGGAGCUCCUGCUGCAUGGUGGGGGUUGGAUAGUUUCGGCGGGUGGGGAUGGACUCGCGGCUUCUCAGCGUGUUGGUGGGGUAGUGGCUUACCAAGGCUUUGACGGGUAGCCGGCCUGAGAGGGUGACCGGCCACGUUGGGCCUGAGAGACGGCCCAGACUCCUACGGGAGGCAGCAGUGGGGAAUAUUGCAGAAUGGGCGGACGCCUGAUGCAGCAGCGCCGCGUGCGGGAUGACGGCCUUCGGGUUGUAAACCGCUGUCGCCUGUGACGAAGCGGGAGUGACGGUAAUGAGUAAAGAAGCACCGGCUAACUACGUG